GAUGAACGCUAGCGGCAGGCUUAAUACAUGCAAGUCGAGGGGCAGCACAGGUAGCAAUACUGGGUGGCGACCGGCAAACGGGUGCGGAACACGUACGCAACCUUCCUUUAAGUGGGGGAUAGCCCAGGGAAACUUGGAUUAAUACCCCUUAACAUUAUGAGAUGGCAUCAUUUUAUAAUUAAAGCUCCGGCGCUUAAAGCUGGGCGUGCGCCUGAUUAGGUAGUUGGCGGGGUAACAGCCCACCAAGCCUACGAUCAGUAACUGGUGUGAGAGCACGACCAGUAACACAGGCACGGAUACACGAGCACGACUCCUGCGGAAGGCAUCAUUAAGGAAUAUUGGUCAAUGGACGCAAGUCUGAACCAGCCAUGCCGCGUGGAGGAUGACGGCCCUCUGGGUUGUAAACUCCUUUUAUCUGGGAAGAAAUGCAGAUUUUCUAAUCUGUUUGACGGUACCAGAGGAAUAAGCACCGGCUAACUCCGUGCCAGCCGCCGCCGUAA
rnacentral:rRNA from 1 species